GAUAACCGCUGGCGGCGUGCCUAAUACAUGCAAGUAGAGCGAAGCGGGGACGGGUGAGUAACACGUCGCUAACCUCCUAUAAGACUGGUAUAACUUCGUGAAACCGGAGCUCAACCGGAUACAUAUAGAUGGCUCCGAGAUGCAUUAGCUAGUUGGUCAGUUAACGGCUUACCAAGGCAAGUAUGCAUAGCCUACCUGAGAGGGUGACUGCGCACUGGGGAACUGGUACACGGUCCAGACUCCUAUGGGAGGCAGCAGUAGGGAAUCUUCCGCAAUGGGCGAAAGCCUUACGGAGCAACGCCGCGUGAGUGAUGAAGGUCUUCGGAUCGUCAAACUCUGUUAGUUGGUAAGUGGUACCUAAUCAGAAAGCCACGGCUAACUACGUGCCAGCCGCCGCGGUAAUAC
rnacentral:rRNA from 1 species